UCUUUUAUUUAUCAUCCUGCCUUAUUUCAGAUGGGUACUGUCUGGCUGACCUCUAGAUACCCUUGCACUUGCUCUGUGAUAUCCCCAGAAUGUCAAUGCUCCAGUUCUUCAUCUUUCAUUUCUCAGGUGCUUCUUAUUGGUCACUUCUGGUACCAGUGGCAGCAGAAGUGGAAGUUUAUCCUCUGAUAAUCUGCACUGCUUUAAUGGCUCCUAGCAUCCUGAGGAUAUUUUCCAAGUGUUAUGGUGACACCAGCUGAGAUCUUGGCAACAGAAAACCAAAGAGUGCCUUCCUGCAUUUCCCAUUCCCGGCUCUGCUGACCGUGCAGUCAUCAAACACCGGGCAAGAUUUACAGCUUGACGGUCAGCCGUGCUAACUACAGAACACCAAACAACAGCAGGAAGCAGUUAGCAGCGUAGGUGAGGAACGCCGUUUCUAUCUCAUGAGGCAUGCACUAGGGCAAGCAACACGGGCUGGCACUGCGAGAUGCUGUUUCCUCUGCUUUUACGACAAAGAUCAUCUAUAACGCAGAGAGAACUAGAGUGAGAAGGGGAAUGGCUGAACCCAGUUGGAGGAGCAGAAGAAUAAAAUUUAUUUGUGUUUCAGAGAGACUGGAAAAGACUAAGGGGAAGCAAAAAGGAGGGGUAAGAGGAGGGCAAGACCAGGUGCAGGAAAAGACAUACAAAUUAACCCCUUGUGUUGCAUCAGUCUGUGCUGAACUAUUGUAGCACAGUGCUUGUUAGCCAAGGCAGGGCGGCACCUUAAUCAAGUGAUGACAUUAUUUUUGCUUACCCGAGUUCCAAAAAGACCUUUUUUUUUUUUUUCUUUUUCAGUUUCCCCCCAUUACUAAUAACGGGGUGUAUUUUUU